CCUAACGUCACGCUCAAAUAGAGGACGAAUCAUCGCAAGCGCCGUCAUUUCCUCCUCCUCUCGGUCAAGCCGUCAUCUGCUUCUCAACCGUCCUACUUGCCGCGGUCCUUAUCGUUUGCGACCCUCAGUCAUGCCGCGUCCUCUAUCCUAGGGGAGCAGCUCAAAGUUGGGAGUGGAGUAGCUUGCAGCAUUGAAAACCAUAAGCACAAUGAACUGGUAAUGGAGGCAGUCGUCAUAAUAAUAAAUAACAUGCCAAUAGACAACACUGAGUGAUUUAGGAAGUAUGGUAAUAAAACAGAAGUUUCUUAACAAGUCUCUUGGAUUUUAUGUUUUAGAAGCCAAAGGAUUGAUAUUAUCAAUGUAUUAACUAUUAAACUAACAUGUUCUGUAAUUUUAUAUUAUAGCAAUAAAUAUGUUGUAUAAUUUUUAUUGUGUUGAUGAUUUAUUGAUUGUUUUUUAUUGUGUU